AGGCGUGCGAUCCCGCCCUCUACGACUGAAAAAAUCCCAAUCAACAACCACACUGACUUUAAACCAAGUCGUUUUUCUUCCUCUUUUGCAAUCUCAGACAAAGCUUUCGUCUUCCAUUUAUCUCACGCUUCCAAUUCAGUUCAAUUCAAUUCCUCUCAACCCCUAUCCCUCUCUCCCUCUGAAAAUUUCCAAAUUCCCGUUCCAGAAAUCUAGAGAGAGAGAGAGAGAGAGAGAGAGAGAGAGAUUGGAUUGGUGUAGCUUUUCUUCCACAUUUGAUGGCGAAGAGAAGACGAUGCGUGUUUGGAUUCUGCUAUUCUCUUUUGACGAUUUUGGUUUACGCUAGGGUUUCGUUUUCCGCGAGAUCUGAUAAGGAAGUCAGGGAGAGGUUCUACGGCAACAUGAUGAACUCCUCCGCGCCGGUUUCCGGCGACGGCACCAUUGCCAAAAUGUUCGAUCGCGUCCUCGAGAAGGAGUUCUCCGAGAACGAUCAGCCCGAAGGAUCUGAUGGGGCCAGCUUUAACAGCAGUGUGGCCGAUCAACAAGCUGUACUAGAGACUGUGGCGAAAAUCACUCACGAGAAGGGCAAGAAAAAUGAUACACAAGUGGGAAACGGCACGAAGCCUUAUGAUUUUGAAGGUGUUUUUUCAUUGGAGAAUGAAGAUUCUGAAGAAACAACAACCUUGAUUGACAAAAAGGAUAAUGUGUUUGUGAUGUCAAACAAGAAAUCUAAAUAUCCAGUACUUCAAGUAGAUUUAAGAUUAAUUUCUGAUCUGGUGGUUAUCAUAGUAUCUGCUGCCAUUGGUGGAAUUCUGUUUUCUUGUUUGGGACAACCGGUUAUUGUCGGAUACCUGCUUGCUGGUUCUCUCAUUGGACCUGGAGGUCUUACAAUCAUCACUGAAAUGGUGCAGGUUGAAACUGUUGCACAGUUUGGUGUUGUAUUUCUUCUUUUUGCUCUAGGUUUGGAGUUUUCUUUGGCUAAGUUAAAAGCUGUGGGCCCUGUAGCUGUUCUUGGAGGCCUUCUUCAAAUAAUGACAUUUAUGCUCUUGUGUGCCAUAACUGCUGUGUUAUGUGGAGCAAAGUUGUCUGAGGGAAUUUUUGUCGGUUCCUUCCUUUCAAUGUCCUCAACAGCGGUGGUGGUGAAAUUUCUUGCAGAAAGGAAUAGUAAUAGUGCUCUUCACGGUCAAGUAACAAUUGGAACGCUCAUUUUCCAGGACUGUGCUGUUGGUUUAUUGUUUGCUUUGCUCCCAGUUUUGGGUGGUCAUAGCGGCCUUUUCCAAGGAAUGGUAUCAGUAGGGAAGCUGUUGCUGGUGCUGUCACUAUAUCUUGGUGCUGUGUCGGUAUUCUGUUGGUCAUUUGUUCCUCGCUUUCUGAAACUGAUGAUGCAGUUGUCCUCUCAAACAAAUGAGCUCUAUCAGCUUGCUGUUGUGGCUUUCUGCUUAUUAUCUGCUUGGUGCAGUGAUAAGUUGGGCCUUAGCCUUGAGUUGGGUUCAUUUGUGGCUGGAGUUAUGAUAUCAACCACUGACCUUGCACAACAUACUUUAGACCAGGUGGAACCAAUUCGUAACCUAUUUGCAGCUCUCUUCCUUUCAAGUAUUGGAAUGCUCAUACAUGUACAUUUCUUGUGGAGCCACGUCGACAUACUGCUAGCAUCUGUAAUUCUAGUUAUAGUUGUAAAGACUGCUGUUGCUACUAUUGUUACUAAGGCCUUUGGAUAUAGCUUUAGGACGUCAUUUGUGGUUGGAGUCUCACUUGCUCAAAUUGGAGAAUUUGCUUUUGUCCUCUUAAGUCGGGCCUCAAAUCUUAAACUUGUUGAGGGAAAAAUGUACCUGCUUCUUCUCGGAACAACAGCGCUUAGCCUGGUUACAACUCCUCUCUUGUUUAAGUUGACUCCCGCCAUAAUGAACCUAGGAGUUCUUAUGCACUGGUUUCCUUCCGAGGGUACUCCAUAUAACGAGGUCUCUCUCUUUCCUCCUCUUUGAAGCACAUGCAUGCGUACUUGCAAGCACGUUAUACCUAUGAAGUUUGAACUGAGAAAGCUUCAAUGAUCGACGCACAGCACAACCGCAUAUUGUGAUCUCCUUCCCAUGUCUAUCUACCAUCCGAUCACAAUUCAUAUCAUGUUACGAAUUCAGUUGUGUAUGAUUUGUGAAUGUCCGGUGUUCAGUUCGCUGCCAAUUCCAUCGUUGUAGAUGUUGCAGAUGACACUUCAAGAUGUUCGGUUCCAGCUUCGAGCAUUAUCGUGUACAGAGCAUAUCAUUUUUGUAAUUUUUUUGAGGAUUUUGUAAAUAGGAAUGUUUAUGUAGGGCUCCUCUUCAAGUGUGCAUGCUAGUCUAUUUGGGGAAAAAGUUGCUGCAAAUACUAGAGAUCGUUAGGAAACUGUAUCGUACCAAAAAUGGACUUCCAGAAUUAUUUUUUGAAGAAAUACUACCAACUGAAACAUUUUUAUCUUAUUAAAUUAAUGUUUCUUUUGUCAA